GGGGGGGCGGAGCAGACAAAGGAGGCGGGGCAGCUGGAGUUGCCAGAAAAGGGUUCUUGGAGGCAGAUGCAGCUGGAGCCGAGCCUCCAAAACCCGGAGGGGAACAAAGCAUGGAGAUGGGGCGCUGGCAAGGGCGCCGCCUAGUGCCGGAUGGGCCAGCAGCAGGACUCUGCCCUUCAGAGGUUCGAGCCGCUGUGGGAUGCAGUGAGUGUGUGGUCUUUGAAAGGACUUAAGAAGACAGACGUUAGAAGCUGACAAAGAGUAGGUGCAGUGAGUAAACGUUCCAAGAGGCUCGACCCUGAGACCGCAGAGUCCGCAUGCCGGCCAGUGGAGGGCAGAGAGGGAGUCUUGCAGCCGCUGCAGAUGCCUCCGAAAAGGGAGGCGCUACUUGGUGAAAAUUCUGCAUUUGUGUUCAAUGACAUCAGAAGGUGUUGCAUUUUAUUCCUUCCUUGGUCAGAUAGAGAUAUGUGAGGAUGGUUCGAAAAAUUCAUGGAAAAUAUAAUUAAAAGAUAAAUUUUUUCUGGUGCAAAAUCUUUUGAAAUCCAUGUAUUGCUUUUCCAUGAUGCAUUUUCCAUGAACUUUUUGAAGAUCUCUUGUAUGCAUGGAUUUUAAUUUUUUUUCAGACCAAAUUAAGCAUUGUCCACAAAUGUUGUGAAAUGUCCUUGUAUUUUACUAUUGCCAUUAAAUAAAUAGCUUCAAACAGUUUGAAAUAUUCA
rnacentral:lncRNA from 1 species